ACCUACGGGAGGCAGCAGUAGGGAAUAUUGCACAAUGGGGGAAACCCUGAUGCAGCGACGCCGCGUGAAGGAAGAAGUAUUUAGGUAUGUAAACUUCUAUCAGCAGGGAAGAAAGUGACGGUACCUGACUAAGAAGCCCCGGCUAACUACGUGCCAGCAGCCGCGGUAAUACGUAGGGGGCAAGCGUUAUCCGGAUUUACUGGGUGUAAAGGGAGCGUAGACGGCGAUGCAAGUCUGAAGUGAAAGGCGGGGGCCCAACCCCCGGACUGCUUUGGAAACUGUAUGGCUGGAGUGCAGGAGAGGUA
rnacentral:rRNA from 1 species